ACCAUGGUGGAUAGCUCAGUCGGUAGAGCAUGAGACUUUUAAUCCCAGGGUCAUGGGUUCGAGCCCCAUAUUGGGCA